rnacentral:misc_RNA from 1 species
ACAAACUUGGUCAUUUAGAGGAAGUAAAAGUCGUAACAAGGUUUCCGUAGGUGAACCUGCGGAAGGAUCAUUAACAAACCAAACCAAAGGCGCCACCCUGGCUGAUGCUGGCCCCUUGGGGCACGUGCACGCCUUGGGGCGCCGCUCGCUUCGCUUCCCCUGUGCACCCCAUGUAGGUCGUCGCCGGCGGUCUUCCCCGCCUCGGCCCCUAUGAUUUUCGUCUUUGUACGUGCCCCGAUAGCAUGUGUUGGUGGUGUGGCACUCUUGUGCCGAUACGCGACGUGAAAUACAACUUUCAACAACGGAUCUCUUGGCUCUCGCAUCGAUGAAGAACGCAGC